GUUACAUCUUCCUGGUCUUCAUGCCAUUUAAUCUGGGAUCUUAUCCCAAACAUCUCCAAAGACAUAUAGAGAUUCUCAGUUCUGUUUUCUUCCCACACAGUAUAUGCACAUUCUUCUUUUAGCAAGCUUGGCUACGGUUAAGUUCAGAGUUGAGCUUCAGCCUGCUCUCAGGAGUGCUCAUGCAGUAUUCUAUUCUGAGUGGGGUUUUUGCACGCUGCCUCCAUCCUCCAUGUGCAAGGUUCAGGGUCUCCCACUGACUUUCCCAGAAUUUAUGCACAGAAUUGGGGAUUCCCGGUUACUGUGGGCACUUUAUCUGUUUUCAUGAGCCAGAAAAAUAGUGAACAUUUUGUUGGAGUUUUUCAACUAUCCUUAGGGCAGGGCUGAAAAAAAUGGGUGUUUUUCCCAUGCUAGCUCCUUCCCAGGAGCGGAGUUCUCUUCCAGAGUUUGCUCAUUUUGGUUCCUUAGCUGCAGUCCUGGAGUAGUUAAUUUUAUGAUCUUUGCAACAUUUUUUCUCUCUGUGGGAGAGUAAGUUUCUCACCAGAAUAGGUACUCUUUUGGGUCUACUUUUUUAUUUCAUUGAUUUCAGUCUUGCUUUUACUAUUACCUUCCUUCUAUUUGGGGGUUCUUUCAUUUUUAUUUUUCUAAUCCUUAAGGUUGGAUCUAGGGUCAUUGAUUUUAGAACUUUCUUCUUCUCUUAAAUAAACACCUGGAAUUCACUGUAAAUGUUUUUAAAGAAC
rnacentral:lncRNA from 1 species